rnacentral:rRNA from 1 species
AGUGAACGCUGGCGGUAGGCCUAACACAUGCAAGUCGAACGGCAGCACAGUAAGAGCUUGCUCUUACGGGUGGCGAGUGGCGGACGGGUGAGGAAUACAUCGGAAUCUACUUUUUCUGGGGGAUAACGUAGGGAAACUUACGCUAAUAACGCAUACGACCUACGGGGGAAAGCAGGGGAUCUUCGGACCUUGCGCGAUUGAAUGAGCCGAUGUCGGAUUAGCUAGUUGGCGGGGUAAAGGCCCACCAAGGCGACGAUCCGUAGCUGGUCUGAGAGGAUGAUCAGCCACACUGGAACUGAGACACGGUCCAGACUCCUACGGGAGGCAGCAGUGGGGAAUAUUGGACAAUGGGCGCAAGCCUGAUCCAGCCAUACCGCGUGGGUGAAGAAGGCCUUCGGGUUGUAAAGCCCUUUUGUUGGGAAAGAAAAGCAGCAGGUUAAUACCCCGCUGUUCUGACGGUACCCAAAGAAUAAGCACCGGCUAACUUCGUG